UACGGGGGGGGCAAGCGUUGUUCGGAAUUACUGGGCGUAAAGGGCUCGUAGGCGGCCAACUAAGUCGGACGUGAAAUCCCCAGGCUCAACCUGGGAACUGCGUCCGAUACUGGAUGGCUUGAAUUCGGGAGAGGGAUGCAGAAUUCCAGGUGUAGCGGUGAAAUGCGUAGAUAUCUGGAGGAAUACCGGUGGCGAAGGCGGCAUCCUGGACCGAGAUUGACGCUGAGGCGCGAAAGCCAGGGGAGCAAACGGG
rnacentral:rRNA from 1 species